rnacentral:rRNA from 1 species
UCAGGUUAUGCUGGGCACUCUGCAGAGACUGCCGGUGAUAAACCGGAGGAAGGUGGGGAUGACGUCAAGUCAGCAUGGCCUUUAUGUCUGGGGCCACACACGUGCUACAAUGGCAGAUACAAACCGUCGCGAGACCGCAAGGUGGAGCUAAUCGGAGAAAGUCUGUCUCAGUUCGGAUAGCAGGCUGCAAGGGAGCCUGCUUGAAGUUGGAAUCGCUAGUAAUCGCGGAUCAGCACGCCGCGGUGAAUACGUUCCCGGGCUUUGUACUCACCGCCCGUCACAUCACGAAAGCCGGUUGUACAGGGCUACCGUACCAACCCGCAAGGGAGGGAGGCGCCUAAGGUAU